UACGAAGGGUGCAAGCGUUACUCGGAAUUACUGGGCGUAAAGCGUGCGUAGGUGGUUUGUUAAGUCUGUUGUGAAAAGCCCCGGGCUCAACCUGGGAAUGGCAAUGGAUACUGGCAGGCUAGAGUGCGGUAGAGGGUAGUGGAAUUCCCGGUGUAGCGGUGAAAUGCGUAGAGAUCGGGAGGAACACCUGUGGCGAAAGCGGCUCACUGGACCACUACUGACGCUGAUGCGCGAAAGCUAGGGGAGCAAACAGG
rnacentral:rRNA from 1 species